GGAAGGGGCUUUGGUUCAGUGGCAGAGUAUCUGCUUGUGAUGCAGAAGGUCCCACAUUAAAACCCUGGCAUUUCCA
rnacentral:tRNA from 1 species